GUGCAAAGGAAUAGGGCUAGUGUGCGGUCCUGGGAUGCAUGAUGCAACAAAACAAGACCUUAGGGAUUUAAAAGAAAAUAAAAGAAAAAAGAAGAAGCCAUGAGGAGUUAGGAGAUGGAAUCGGCCAGGACUCUGGGGGCUAGGAAAUCUAUAAAAAGAGAUGUAGGGUACCUAAGGAAGAGAAGAGAUUAAGAUAGAAAAAGUAUAGAGAGAAUG
rnacentral:lncRNA from 1 species